rnacentral:rRNA from 1 species
GUCUAUGGCCAUGCCACCCUGAACGUGCCUGAUCCCAUCUGAUCUUGGAAGCGAAGCAGGGUCAGGCCUGGUUAGUACUUGUAUGGGAGAUCACCUAGGAAGACCAGGUGCUGUAGGUG